UGAGGAAUAUUGGUCAAUGGCCGAGAGGCUGAACCAGCCAAGUCGCGUGAGGGAAGAAUGUCCUAUGGAUUGUAAACCUCUUUUGUCAGGGAGCAAAGUCAUCCACGUGUGGGUGUUGGAGAGUACCUGAAGAAAAAGCAUCGGCUAACUCCGUGCCAGCAGCCGCGGUAAUACGGAGGAUGCGAGCGUUAUCCGGAUUUAUUGGGUUUAAAGGGUGCGUAGGCGGGUUAUCAAGUCAGCGGUAAAAUCGUGGAGCUCAACUCCAUCCAGCCGUUGAAACUGAUGAUCUUGAGUGGGCGAGAA
rnacentral:rRNA from 1 species